GCACCAGUGAUUUAGUGGUAGAAUUGUACACUGCUACCGUGUAGACCCGGGUUCAAUUCCCGGCUUGUGCA
rfam:Ipomoea nil DNA, scaffold: scaffold3100, cultivar: Tokyo-kokei standard.